rnacentral:rRNA from 1 species
UACGUAGGGGGCAAGCGUUGUCCGGAUUUAUUGGGCGUAAAGAGCGUGUAGGCGGCUUGGUAGGUCCGCUGUGAAAACUCGAGGCUCAACCUCGAGAUGUCGGCGGAAACCACUUGGCUAGAGUCCGGAAGAGGAGAGUGGAAUUCCCGGUGUAGCGGUGAAAUGCGCAGAUAUCGGGAGGAACACCAAUUGCGAAGGCAGCUCGCUGGGACGUUACUGACGCUGAGACGCGAAAGCGUGGGGAGCAAACAGGG